rnacentral:rRNA from 1 species
UCGCCUUUGGAUGAGCCCGCGUAAGAUUAGCUAGUUGGUAGGGUAAAAGCCUACCAAGGCGACGAUCUUUAGCUGGUCUGAGAGGAUGAUCAGCCACACUGGGACUGAGACACGGCCCAG